rnacentral:rRNA from 1 species
AGAGUGAACGCUGGCGGCGUGCCUAACACAUGCAAGUCGCACGAGAAAGGGACUUCGGUCCUGAGUACAGUGGCGCACGGGUGAGUAACACGUGAAUAAUCUACCUCCGAGUGGGGAAUAACUGAGAGAAAUCUUAGCUAAUACCGCAUAACACUUACGAGUCAAAGCAGCAAUGCGCUUGGAGAGGAGUUCGCGGCAGAUUAGUUAGUUGGCGGGGUAAUGGCCCACCAAGACGAUGAUCUGUA